UGUAAAAGUGCUUACAGUGCAGGUAGCUUUUUGAGAUCUACUGCAAUGCAAGCACUUCUUACAU
rnacentral:pre_miRNA from 1 species